rnacentral:piRNA from 1 species
UACUGGCUUGCUCCUCAUGGCUUGCCCAGC